AACGAACGCUGGCGGCAUGCCUAACACAUGCAAGUCGAACGAAGGCUUCGGUCUUAGUGGCGCACGGGUGCGUAACGCGUGGGAAUCUGCCCUUGGGUUCGGAAUAACUCAGAGAAAUUUGAGCUAAUACCGAAUGAUGUCGAAAGACCAAAGAUUUAUCGCCCAAGGAUGAGCCCGCGUAGGAUUAGCUUGUUGGUGAGGUAAAGGCUCACCAAGGCGACGAUCCUUAGCUGGUCUGAGAGGAUGAUCAGCCACACUGGGACUGAGACACGGCCCAGACUCCUACGGGAGGCAGCAGUGGGGAAUAUUGGACAAUGGGCGAAAGCCUGAUCCAGCAAUGCCGCGUGAGUGAUGAAGGCCUUAGGGUUGUAAAGCUCUUUUACCAGGGAUGAUAAUGACAGUACCUGGAGAAUAAGCUCCGGCUAACUCCGUG
rnacentral:rRNA from 1 species